GCCAGGCUGCAAACAUACAAGCACACAGACCUGCGCACUAGAACAUAAACAGGGAUAUUUAAUUUCUUCCUUUUAAUUUUUUUUUUGCACACUAAUAAAUAAACUACUGCAACAACAACAGAAAAAGCAAGCGGAAUCCAAAUAUCCUCUCGGUUGCCAUUUGGUUAUAUAAGAAGGACGAAUUAAGGCGAGCUGGCGGUAAAGAGUCGCUCCAAAUCCGAGCCCCUGAACCGGCCUUAAAUCAAAAGGGAAAAAGUGGGGCAGAGUUCUGCCAGCAGCAAACAUGAUCAGCUUCUGGGGAGAGGACUGUCACAGGUCACAGAACUCGGCCCAGCUAAAAGUCCGCAGCCCCUGCACACCUCCGGGAACCCUUAUUCGUUGUUGUUUUGCAGGGAUGGGCUCCAGGCAGCUUCCUUUGUAAGGUGCCCCCCACCCCCAGCCCGCGGGUCGAGCUUCUGGGGCAGGGAGCAAACACCCGCCCCAAGGGACUGGACCACCAGCGUCCCCUUGCCCAGGAAUUUAGGAUUGGGGUGGAGAAAAAGAAAACAGUGUUUAUGAAGAGCCAGAAAGCGUUCUGUGGAUUUUAAAACCCAAGGAUGCGUGCUCAGAAUCAUGGCCGCUUCACUCAAGAAUGGGCAUCCAUGGAGCCAUCCUAAGGGCUGCCUCUCCUCACCUGGG
ensembl:lncRNA